UAAAUCUUCUUUAAGGUCCUGCUCUUUUUCUCUUGACAGCAAGCUACCACUGUUUAGAGAGAGUCUCCUGUUGUCUUCGUCCUGAGGCUUCUUCCAUCUGCACGGAGGUUCCGAUGCGUUUAUGACGUAUCAAUCCCUCGACCAUCAGGCACACAUUUCACUGUUUUGGGAGAAGGCCUUUGGACUGAAGCUGGAAUCACUGCUGCUCCGUGGGUGCUUGUCAUGGCUCCUGUGGAUGGGAACCCGCUAGGCUUCUAGGCUCUGCACGGGUUUGUCUUUUUGAAUAAAUUGAGCA
rnacentral:lncRNA from 1 species